CCCUUAGAUGUUCUGGGCCGCACGCGCGCUACACUGUCGGAUUCAGCGAGUCUUAACCUUAACCGAAAGGUUUGGGUAAUCUUUUGAAAGUCCGACGUGAUGGGGAUUGAUCAUUGCAAUUAUUGAUCAUGAACGAGGAAUUCCUAGUAAGCGCGAGUCAUCAGCUCGUGUUGAUUACGUCCCUGCCCUUUGUACACACCGCCCGUCGCUACUACCGAUUGAAUGGUUUAGUGAGACCCUCGGAUUCGUCCCAGCAGGGUGGGUCACCACCUUAUUGGUGUGCGGAGAAGACGGUCGAACUUGAUCAUUUAGAGGAAGUAAAAGUCGUAACA
rnacentral:rRNA from 1 species